rnacentral:rRNA from 1 species
GGCAUGCCUUACACAUGCAAGUCGAACGGCAGCACGGGAGCAAUCCUGGUGGCGAGUGGCGAACGGGUGAGUAAUAUAUCGGAACGUGCCCAGUCGUGGGGGAUAACGUAGCGAAAGCUACGCUAAUACCGCAUACGAUCUAUGGAUGAAANCGGGGGAUCGCAAGACCUCGCGCGAUUGGAGCGGCCGAUAUCAGAUUAGGUAGUUGGUGAGGUAAAGGCUCACCAAGCCGACGAUCUGUAGCUGGUCUGAGAGGACGACCAGCCACACUGGGACUGAGACACGGCCCAGACUCCUACGGGAGGCAGCAGUGGGGAAUUUUUGGACAAUGGGCGCAAGCCUGAUCCAGCAAUGCCGCGUGCAGGAUGAAGGCCUUCGGGUUGUAAACUGCUUUUGUACGGAACGAAACGGUAAGCUCUAAUACAGUUUGCUAAUGACGGUACCGUAAGAAUAAGCACCGGCUAACUACGUG